UCAGACCAAAAAAGAAGAAAAACAUGGAAUGAUAUGUUCCAUUACAUUGACUUGUUUGUAAUGAAAUGAUAUUGCUCUUUGUUUUGCCAACUUACAAUUAGGCUGUAAAAUAAUGAAUGGUUUUCAUGUUUUGGGGGUAAGUGGAAGUACACACUUAGAUGUUGCUGAAAUUGCUAACUUUGGUUUGGAUGUUAAAUUAAUGUCAGGA
rnacentral:misc_RNA from 1 species